GAUGAACGCUGGCGGCGUGCCUAACACAUGCAAGUCGAGCGAAAAGACGAGGAGCUUGCUCCCAUGACGUCGGCGGCGGACGGGUGAGUAACACAUGGAUAACAUACCUCUAAGACGGGGGUAAUAUCGGGAAACAAGAGCUACUAACGGAUAAUAUAUUGAACCGGAUGGUUCAAUAGUUGAAGUAGGUUUUGGUGACAGUUAUAGCCGGAUACGGGCAGCAUUAGCUAGUUGGGAAGGUAACGGCUUACCAAGGCUACGAUGCGUACCCGACCUGAGAGGGUGAUCAGCCACACUGGAACUGAGACACGGUCCAGACUCCUACGGGAGGCAGCAGUAGGGAAUCUUCCGCAAUGGGCGAAAGCCUGACGGAGCAACACCGCGUGAGUGAUGAAGGACUUCGGAUCGUAAAGCUCUGUUGUUAGGAGAGAACAAAUGUGUAUUUACCUAUGCUCGUCUUGACGGUACCGAAACAAAAAGCCCCGGCUAACUACGUG
rnacentral:rRNA from 1 species